rnacentral:sRNA from 1 species
CUGGCCGGGCUGGCUGCGGCCGCCCUGGGCCGGGCCCCACCGGACGGCUUGCUCUGCUCUUUACCUGGGGUUGCUGUCGAGGACCCUGUGCAAGACUCGGCCGGUUUUUCUUUCUCCCUGAUGGACAGACCCAAACAUAGCCGCGCAGCAUCGUGAAGGGCUGGGGCCUUCACUCCUCUGUGGCUCUGGAAGAGCCCGGUUUCCUCAGGAGGUAAAGGAAUGUUCCUGUCCCCCGGGGGAAAGAAAGUGAAAACGAAAGCGCCCUGGCUGCUCCUGGUGUGGUCCCAUUUAAAACGAGGUUGCUGAAGGCCAGGACGCGUGCUACCCGGAUGUGUGCCCAGAAACCCUGCAGCCAAGAGCAGCCGCCUGGACCACCAGCCUCCCCUUCAUCCAGCUGGCCCAGCCCAGAGCCCAGGCCCACGUCUGGUGGCAUGUCGGGCCCCAGGCCUGUGGUGCUGAGCGGGCCUUCGGGAGCUGGGAAGAGCACCCUGCUGAAGAGGCUGCUCCAGGAGCACAGCGGCAUCUUUGGCUUCAGCGUGUCCCAUACCACGAGGAACCCGAGGCCCGGCGAGGAGAACGGCAAAGAUUACUACUUUGUAACCAGGGAGGUGAUGCAGCGUGACAUAGCAGCCGGCGACUUCAUCGAGCAUGCCGAGUUCUCGGGGAACCUGUAUGGCACGAGCAAGGUGGCGGUGCAGGCUGUGCAGGCCAUGAACCGCAUCUGUGUGCUGGACGUGGACCUGCAGGGUGUGCGGAACAUCAAGGCCACCGAUCUGCAGCCCAUCUACAUCUCUGUGCAGCCACCUUCACUGCAUGUGCUGGUGUGUGCUGGGCAGGGUUGGGGGCUGGGGGCCAGGGCAUGCCAGGCUCUGAUUGCCACCCCCUUUUUAGGAGCAGCGGCUGCGGCAGCGCAACACUGAAACGGAGGAGAGCC